rnacentral:lncRNA from 1 species
GACUCCUGUUUUGUCAUUAAUCCAACAUGAAAACAUAUUGAAGCUCAUUGAUCAUUAUGAGAAAAAGUGAGUUCUUUCUUUCCACCUGAACAGAAAAAAAAAGGAAAAAAAAAGGAAAAGGAAGAAGACUUUAGAUCCAAAUUGAACUAUCUUCUAGUUUUGGCUGCCUUUCCAUGAUAAAGAAGAGAAACAAAUUGCAAACGGAUUUUGGGAUUAAAACAAAAGUUUUAAAAAUGUACUGCAGUUUUUGGAGGCUUCUAGCAACAAAUGGAGUAAAAAAUCAUUCAUGAAACCAAGGAACAGACUAAAGCCACACAAAUAGAAAAAAAAAGAAAAAAGAAACAAGAAGAGAUUAAUCAUAUUUUUGCUAUACAGUUACAAACUCAUAUCUACAUAUAGCAGAUAAUAAAACCCAAAAAAUAAAAUGAAAGCAAACAAGAAGUAGCUGCUUCCAAGUAGCAAGUAAUGAAGAGCAGUCCAAACCCAAAAGCCUAGUCAUGCCAGCAUAGAAGCGUAACAAUACAUCUUCUUAUUAUGUAGAGCCUACCUCUUUGUUCUUUAAGGAACCCACCAACUCCUUUACAUGAUAACUUUCUUUUAGAAUCACUAACACUUGAACUUUUAAUCUCCAUUUUCUCUUUAAAUCUCCUCUCUCAAUAUCUCACUGUUGUUGUUGUUGUUGUUUUUCUUUCCCCCCUUUUCCCGUCCUUUUUUCUUGGCUUCAAGACUUCAACGAACUUUAGUCCUUUCUUUCUAUGAUUUCUUGUGAAUGGAUCAUUUUUGGGUUCUGGGGUGUGAGGAGAGGUACAGCUUGGGGAUAAUGAUUGAAAUUUUGCAUGAAAAGAGCAAGAAAGGGGGUUCUUAUAGGGAAACUUGGAAUGAUAGUGAGUGGUCCAGGCUCCCCUGGGCCCAAUAUCUCAUUAAAAAGGACAAACAAUGGUUUGCUGAUGGGAUCUAAAAUGCCUCUAUGCACUCUGGCACUGCACUUUCGGCCCC